rnacentral:rRNA from 1 species
CCUGAUGCAGCGACGCCGCGUGGGGGAUGACGGCCUUCGGUUGUAAACCUCUUUCAGCACAGACGAAGCGCAAGUGACGGUAUGUGCAGAAGAAGCACCGGCCAACUACGUGCCAGCAGCCGCGGUAAUACGUAGGUGGCAAGCGUUGUUCGGAAUUACUGGGCGUAAAGGGCGCGUAGGCGGCCUGGUCAGUCCCGUGUGAAAUCCCUCGGCUCAACUGAGGAACUGCACGGGAAACUGCCUGGCUUGAGUUCGGGAGAGGGAAGCGGAAUUCCGGGUAUAGCGGUGAAAUGCGUAGAUAUCCGGAGGAACACCGGUGGCGAAGGCGGCUUCCUGGACCGACACUGACGCUGAGGCGCGAAAGCUAGGGGAGCAAACGGGAUUAGAUACCCCGGUAGUCCUAGCUGUAAACGAUGAGUGCUGGGUGUAGGAGGUAUCAACCCCUCCUGUGCCGAAGCUAACGCAUUAAGCACUCCGCCUGGGGAGUACGGUCGCAAGGCUG